rnacentral:lncRNA from 1 species
AUAUUUAUCAAUAGAUAAUACAUGAUCAUAUGAUCCACACCCAGCAAAAUAGCUAUCCAGCAUCCCAAUAUAUACUUUCAAAUAAAUUGAUAUAUAAUUUUCAAAAUAUAACGAUCAUUAGUAUAUAUUAUAUUAGCAAAUGGUAUAUAUCUAAUAAAAUAAUCAUCUAGUGUACAUUUAGAUUUAUUAAUAUAUAAUUUUUAGAUUAUAAUAUAUAUUAAUAUAUAGUAUAUAUUGAGAUAAUAUAUAUUUAUUAAUUUUUUGAUAUAUAUUAUAAAUUAUUUUGAUCUUGGAGGAGGGGGAGAGAGUUUGACGACAAAAAAAAAGUUGGAUAGAGAAAUAGUUGACGAGGAAGA